UCUCUGCACGCUUAAGCUCAGUGCUAUUGGAGCUGCACUCAUUCUUCUGUGUCAGCCUCAGAGAGCAGCCUCAGGCUCUUAUUUAAUGCUGGAGUGGUCACAUGACUACAAAAUGGUGGAGGCUGUCAGUUGGUGAGCUGAGCAUCUUUGUAGCUGCGCAGAGGAACGAAGAGAAACACAGAAACCUUUCUCUCUCUCUCUCUCUCUCUCUCUCUCUCUCUCUCUCUCUCUCUCUCUCUCUCUCUCUCUCACACACACACACACAUACACACACACACACACACACACACACACACACACACACACAGAUGAUCUCUGAAACCUGGAGCAGCAGUGUGGGAUUGAAAGAUUGAACGCAAAGGAGAAGUGUGUAUCAGCAGUGAUCCCCGUCCUCUCUGUCCCCCGGUAAUGAGGGGAUGGAGCAGCCUCCUGAACACAAGAUGAGCUCUGAUGGGACAGAAGGCAGACCAGCUCCUCCCACUACUCUGCCACUGAAGGGCGAUGAAGGCGGCUCUCAGAGGAAAAAGCUCUCAGCCCCUCGGAUCAGCCUCUCGUUAGAUCAAAGCGAAGACGACCUGUUUGACACGCCUGAUGACUUGGACAUUAACGUGGACGAUUUGGACACACCUGACGAGGCUGACAUCCUGGACUACACUGAUCAUGAGUUGGACUGGGAAGAGCCUCAGGAAUCCCAGAGAGCCCCAGUGAAGGAAGAGUCUGAACCCAUCCCUACCUACACCUCUGAGGAGGACCGACAGGACUCCAAACUUUGGAGGACUGUUAUCAUCGGCGAACAGGAGCACCGCAUCAACAUGAAGUGUAUUGAACCCUACCAAAAAGUCAUCUCCCAUGGAGGCUACUACGGAAACGGCACGAAUGCCAUCAUUGUAUUUGCCGCUUGCUUCCUUCCGGACAGCGAUAGCGAGGACUAUCAUGAAAUAAUGGAGAACCUCUUUCUGUAUGUGAUCAGCACGUUGGAGCUGAUGGUAGCGGAGGACUACAUGAUCGUAUAUCUGAACGGGGCCACGCCUCACAGGAGGACGCCUGGCCUCGGUUGGCUGAAGAGGUGCUACCAGAUGAUCGACAGGAGGCUUCGAAAGAACCUGAAAUCUUUUAUUAUUGUUCAUCCUUCCUGGUUUAUCAGGACUAUCCUGGCCAUCACCAGACCCUUUAUCAGUUCAAAGUUCAGCAGUAAGAUUAAGUAUGUGAACAGUUUAGCAGAGCUGGAAGAGCUCAUCCCUAUGGAAUAUGUCCAUAUUCCUGAAUGCAUCAUCAAAACAUGUCGAGAUGGGAGGGUGGGCUGUGGGGAAGAGGAGCGAAAGUCUGCACAGAGGAUUCAAAAAAAGAGGUUGGAGGUUGAAGGGUGGGCAAACGAAUGAUCUCAGGAUACAAAUUUGCAGCGUCCUUGCGCAUGAUGAUGAAACUCGACGAGGAGUUACAGGAAGCAGGAGAGAACUCGAAAAUCAACAGCUUCCUCCAGGGACCUGACGUGCCACAGCCAACAGCUCAACAAAGUGCAAGCAGUUCCUAAUACAAGGACGCAAUGAAGGAAUGCAUGGCCUGUGUAUGCGUGUGUGUUUGUAUGUGUGUGUGUAUGUGUGUGUAUGUGUGUGUGUGUGUGUGAUAAUAAUUGAGAUAAAGUUGGACUCUACCCCUUCAAUAUCUACUGUCCUAACACACAUCCUCAGAAAGUGCUGCUGAUCUCAUGAACUGGUUUCCAGCACUGACCAGUCACAGAAUCAUCCGAUCAUCUCUCAGACGGACAUCGUAAUGUCUUCUCGUGAUAUGCCUUCCAUUUUCUUUUCUUUUCUUUUCUUUUCUGAAUGCAUGAGCAGCAAUAAUAUCAUUUUUAUCCUAACAUCAUCCUCAUGCUGAUACACACAUACACAACAUGAUCAUGUAGUAGAAUAAGAACAACACCUCAGUGUAUCCUCACACGGGAAUCCUGAACGUUGGAAAUGUUUUUUAGCGGAAACGCUUAAAUAGACUUUUAUCUCUUUGUAGAAUUUAAUGUUAUGAACUGCAAAAAAAAAAAAAAGAUCCUUGGAAUAACGUGAGGUUAUACAUCAGCACUUGUUAAGCCUCCACAGCAGACUUUUAUCCGGUCUAGACAGACAGACACACAGACAGACAGACACGCAGACGGCUAGAUACUGUAGAUAAAAGAUCAGACCCCAGACAAGGCAAUAACAUUUGUCCAACGGUUAGAAGCGACUGGACUCUGUGAAGGCUGAUGUUUGGUAGGAUUCAGAAUGAGGAGCUUGUGCUUUAGUUAAAUAUUCAGAUCGUAUCAAAUUUAAACAAACGCACAAAAAUCAAGACUAAAUAAAUUCAAUUCGAAAUGUUUUUAUAUUUGCUGUUGUUAAACUACUCAUCGGAUGAUAAACGAUUCAUCUGGAUAUGAAAUCUGUGUAUCAUGUUACUGAUCUGUUCACCUGGUCUUCUAGCCUGUAGUGUGUAAAAAAACAGCUCAAAGUGAGCCCUGAAAACCUCAGUGUAUGUGUGUGUUUUCAUUCACAGUGUUUGAUAUGAGAAAUAUAUAUCUAUAUAUAUAUGCAUAAACAUACAACACUGAAUAAAUCCUCCCGGCAUGCAGAUACGGAUUUCUAAAGCGUCUCUCCAUGUAGCUCCUGUGUCUACAUUCUGUACCGACAUGUAGUUGUUGUCUGUGAGCGUGAACGUGUGCGAGUUGUUUGUAGGUGUGAUUGUGUUUCGGUUGUGCGUUUGUGUGCUGUUAGGUCUCUCAGGUUGCUGUAAACAGGAAAUGACCUCAUAGACGGACAAAGGACAGUGCAGCUGCAAAGCACAAUAUCCAUAUCUCUGUGGUGUGUGUGUGUGUGUGUGUGUGUGUGUGUGUGUGUGUGUGUGUGUGUGUGUGUGUGCGGGUGAAGGCAUGUCACUGCAUGUCUCAUAGCUGUUAAUGUAGUAAAAAUGUGGUCAUUUGGAAUAAAGUUAAUAUAUAUAGACCCAGAGGCCUUGUAAAAUAAUGCAGAUCACAUCAAUAAAUUUACCUCUAAUCUAA